ACGCCCGUAGCUCAAUGGUAGAGCGGUCGCCUUAUACGCGAUUGGCUGGGGGUUCGAGUCCCUCCGGGCGUA
rnacentral:tRNA from 3 species